GACGAACGCUGGCGGCGUGCUUAACACAUGCAAGUCGAGCGGAAAGGCCUCUUCGGGGGUACUCGAGCGGCGAACGGGUGAGUAACACGUGAGUAAUCUGCCCAUGGCUUCGGGAUAGCCACCGGAAACGGUGAUUAAUACUGGAUAUGACACAAGGCUGCAUGGUUUUGUGUGGAAAGUUUUUUCGGCCAUGGAUGUGCUCGCGGCCUAUCAGCUUGAUGGUGGGGUAAUGGCCUACCAUGGCUUCGACGGGUAGCCGGCCAGAGAGGGUGACCGGUCACACUGGGACUGAGACACGGCCCAGACUCCUACGGGAGGCAGCAGUGGGGAAUAUUGGACAAUGGGCGGAAGCCUGAUCCAGCAACGCCGCGUGAGGGAUGACGGCCUUCGGGUUGUAAACCUCAUUCAGCACAGACGAAGCGCAAGUGACGGUAUGUGCAGAAGAAGGACCGGCCAACUACGUGCCAGCAGCCGCAGUAACAC
rnacentral:rRNA from 1 species